rnacentral:pre_miRNA from 1 species
CAACGACAACAACGAUGACGGUGAUGAUGAUGACGAUGAUGAUGACCAUCAUCAUCAUCAUCAUCAUCAUCAUCAUCAUCAUCAUCAUCAUCAACA